GUAAAAAAGAUAAUAUUUAUGGUGAGAUGGACACGACAUGGCGUGCCGCCUAACUUUUCCCAACAUAUUUUACCCUCUUCCCCACUUCGUCGUCCACCACUGCACCUCCUCUCCAUCCACCGCUGUUGAUAUCAUAUACCUGGUUUAAACUGAUAGGAGAAGUUGAGUUCAAGUGAAUUUUAAUUACUGGAGUAAUUGGCUUGGGAAGUCAUAAUCACAGCACAACUGGGUAAACGUGUGUAGUAAAUUGGUACGUAGAAUGUAUUUCCUGAUAGGAACAAGUUGAAUCAAUUAGCCUUCAAUUGAUGUAGCUUCAAUACGAGUAAAAUCCUGUCCCUCAUCGCAUAAUCCCACUGACCAAAUUUCAGAUUUUGAAUAGCCAUUGAAGUUAAUUUGUGUUACGAUCCAAAUUUUCCAACUUCAAAAUUGUGAUAGUGUUUAACAUUUCACUUACUAGAAAAACUAACUUUAUAGGAUCUUUAAGUUAAUUUUAUUCAAUUUCAAUAAGUACACUCAAUUAAACCAAAAUGAACUAAAAUUGAAUGCGAAAUAACAUGAAAGCCAAUUAUAUCAAGGUUGACGGACACGAACAAAUCUACCUCGAGUCUCCAAAUCAACAAAUCCGAGCUGUUACGCCUCACGAACAGUUAAGGCCAGUACCAAAGUCUGCACAAGAAGUGCAAAGUGUAGUAUGAGUAUAACUGACCCCAUGUAGUGUCGAGUCUAACCUCGACGAGAUAGAGACAAGGCUAUGAUAAGACAGCCCACACAAAUAACCUGUGCAGAUAAUAACAUACGUACAAGACAAUAACAAAUAAAGGCUAAACAUAUACUUUUCGGAGGGGACAUGCAAAAGGGGUAUAAGGUAUGAUAAUUACAGCGAAAAUGAUAACCAGAACAAUCAAUAUACCUUUAACCAGUAAAACAAAUAAACUCAAUCAAUAAAAGUGCACGACACCACCCUUCGUUCUUUAACUCUCAACCUCACAAUGAAACAAUAAUCUGGCACAUCAUCACCCAUCGUGUUUAUACUCUCACUUUCAUCAUAAAAUCAGUAGAUACAGCAUGGCAUCACCCUUCAUGCAUUAACUCUCAAAAUAUGGCACGGCGUCAUCCUUCGUGCAUUAACUCUCAAAUACCGCACGACAUCACCCUUCGUGUAUUAACACUCCCACUUACUAAAUAACAAUGAACAUAUAACCACAAGGAGAUAGAAUCAACAAGAACAAACCUCAUGUCAGCAAUGGUUCCAUAAUACCAAGUGCGACCUCAACAUUAGAAACAAUACUCAAUAAUCACAUAAAGCCCAUAAACGCAAAAAUAACGAUCAAUUUAAUAAUUAACUAGUCUAAGCAUGGAUAACAUUAUCAAAGUAAGCAAUAAAUUAUGACGAACAAGUCUCACCCGCAUGCUUUAACUCAACAACAGUGCAUGAGUACUCAUCAUCUCACAUAGAUGUUGUACCCAACAUAUAAACAUAUAGCAAAUAGACAAACAAGUCAUAACCCCUCAAGUCAAGGUUAACCACGACACUUACCUCGCUUCAAAUUAAGUAAAAGCUCAACCAUAGCUUUGUCUUUCAAACAAGCCUCCGAACCAAUGAAGUGUAGCAAAUUACCAUCCAAAUGAUUCAAAAUAAGCCUUAGGAGCUACUCACGAUUGCUAAAUAUUCAAAUUAGGUUAUUAUUGAAAAAGUGAACAAAAGUCAACUCCCGGGCCCGCUUGGUCCAAACCCAAAAUUCGGACCAAACCCCAAUUACUCAUUCACCCCCGAGCUCGAUUAUGUAAUUUGUUUUGAAAUUCGACCUCAAUUUGAUGUCUAAAUUAUAAUUUUACAAAAAUCGUAAUUCUACCUAAAUCCACAAUUUUCAUAAUGAAAACACUAGAUUUUAGGUUGAAAUCUUAUGAAAUAUAAUGAAGAUUGAAAGAAAAUAGGUUAGAAUCACUUACCAAUGAAUUGGAGAAGAAGGGCUCUUGGAAAAUCGCCUAUAAGGUUUUCUUGCUUUUGAAAAUUCGAAGAAUGAGAGAAAAUCCCGUCUAACUUGAAUUUGACUGGAUGCAAGUGUCGAAGUGUCGCAAUUGCGACCUGAGAUUUGCAAUUGCGAAUCCUGCAAAUGCAAGAAAACCUUCACAAACGUAAAGUCCCACAUUUCGUGUUAUCAUCGCAAUUGCGAUGACUUGUUCGCAAUUGCGAACAAUGGCCACCCCGCAAAUGCGAUCAUUUGGUCGCAAUUGCGAUCACUGUCUCCCUCUACGCUACUUUGCAAUUGCGAAGUGUUAGUCGUAAAUGCAAACCAUGUGGUACCCAGCUAUUUUUGAUGAGUUGCUCGCAAAUACGGACCUAAUAGAGGUCGUAAAUGCGGAGCCUGACCUCGCAAUUGCGAGGUCUGAGGCUUGCACUAGAAUUGAAGCACACUAGCACAUUCUUAAGUCCAAAAUUCACUCUGUAAAAAUAUCCGAAACUCACCCGUGCCCUCGGGGAUCCAAACCAAACUUGCACACAAGUUCAAAGAUAUCAUAUGAACUUGCUCGUGCGAUCAAAUCACCAAAAUAACACCUAGAAGUAUGAAUUGAGCACCAAUUCAAAGGAGGUUUUCAAGAAAACUCAUGAACUUCUAUUUCAACAACCGGACGUCCAAAUCACAUCAAACCAACUCUGUUUCUCAUCAAAUUUGACAAACAAGUCAUAAAUACAGUAAUGGACCUAUACCGGAUUUCGAAACCAAAAUACGAACUUGAUAAUCAAUAAAGUCAAACAUUGAUCAAACUUUUAGAUUCAUUAAGCCUUUAAACCUCAAUUUUUCAACAAAAUAUGAUACCUCGAGCUAGGGACCUCCGAAUUAUAUUUCGGGUAUACGCCCAAGUUUCAAAUUAUGAUGCGGACUCACCAGGAUUGUCAAAAUAUGAAUCUGAGUCUGUUUGCUUAAAACGUUGACCGAAGUCAACUCAAAUAGAUUUUUAAGGCCAAAUUUUAUAUUUUAUCAUCUUUUAUCAUAAAAGCUUUUCGAAAAAUAUCUGGACUGUGCACACAAAUCGAAGAAGGCUAAAACGAGAUAUUUCAGGUUUCGAAACACAUAUUUAGAUUCUAAAACUCUAAAUUAUCUAUCAUAUUAUCACAAUUUAUCUAGAUUCAUACUAUUGCUCUUGAUGUUAACAGAAUUGAAGUGGGGAAAAGCCAUCUUUGCUAUGUUGUUUAUAGUUCAUUGCCUCCAAAGACUCGAAUAGAAAAGUUUAUUUCUGAUCAUUUCUUUUGUCUAUAUUGGAGUUAAGAUUGGCCCUUCUACAGUCAUCGUUGAGUUUUUCCCAAUUGAUAUUUCCUUCAUUUCUUGAUUAGUUAUAAUCCAUUUUUGUUAAAACGGUCCUGGUAGAGACUCUCUUUGAUCAUCAUCUAUUUGCUAUGACCUAUUCUUCUUACCCGUGAGCCGUCUUUCGCUUUUUUGUUUUCUUAUAGUGAGGUGUAGUACUGGUGGAGAUAUGGGGAGGGGUAAAAUGUUAGUCUAUUGUAUUUGUAAAAUAAUUCUAGAGAAAAAAAUAUCGUAUAAAUAGAAAUGUAAAAGAAAUAGAGAUUAAUUCAAACAUAUUGAAUUUAUAGUGUUUUCUUAAGAAACUUAAUUCCCUUUUAGUAGUUGUGGACUAUUUCCUCCCAGAAUAGAAUGGAUUACACACUAACGGUGCAGUACUUCAAAUCUUAGUGUUUCAAUGAACACAAAUGGCGGCAGCAAAUUGCACUUACGUUGUUUGUUUUAUAAGAAAACAAUGCAGAAAGAAAGAGGAUAAUUUAGAAAUUACAUAAGGAAAAUUUGAGGGAAUGGUCCGCUAUUAUAGCCAACAUGUUGGGUUUAAAUGAAGAGGUGCAACUUUUCAGUUGGUUUGUCAUGACUGUUCACGUAAAACGGCCAUUUGCACAAAAUAAAACGAUGCGGUAGAAAAUUAAUUUUUUGUUACAAAAAUGGCUAUUUUAGAUUUAAUAAUAUUACGAUAAUCUUAAUUAACAAAUAAAUUUGGUCCAAAAAAUUAAUUAAUCGAUUGACCAAAUUCGAAGCUGAAGCCAACUGAGCGAGCGACGACAGCGCGAGACUUGCCUUUUUUACGACGGCGCGAGGCUUACCUUCUUCUUAACUCUUUAAGAGCUAGAAAAAGAACAAUUGUAUAUAUACCGAUCAAAAGUCUUUUCCUCAUCCAAUAUGGGACAAUAUCCCUUUUUCAAGUAGAGAAACUUAAAACUAUUUUAUUUUUCCUGCAUUUCUCAUUCGCUUUCUUUUAAGCUAAAUCAGAAAGUGAGGUGGCACGCUAUGUAGUGUCCAUCUCACUAUAAUGUUAGUGAUUCGGGUUCCAUGUUGGACAAGCAUAAUGGCGGAGAUGAAUAUUUAAACCAAUUGUGUAACAUUAGGGAUAUUUUUGCACAAAACUAUAACAAAGAGUAAAUUAGAUCGUUUUUACAUAGUAAAGUGACAUAUUUAAUCUUUUCCCAAUAUUCAAUAAAACAAAUUAGAGUACAUAAUUUGAUCUGAGCAUCAUUAUUGCAAAAUAGAAUUUCGAAAUGUAUACCAACAUAGAUUAUGAUGGGAUGGAUAAAAUUCCUUUAUUUUUAACCAAAUAUCUCGUAUUUAAGCUUUGUGUAUGAAAAGAUUAUGUUAGGAAACACUUUUUUCCUUAAAUGAGUCUUAUGCAGCGCGAAUCCGAAUAUAGUCGGGCUCUAGCUUGAGUAUCCUACACCGAAUAGGUUACAAAAAAGUAUGAGACAUUUUUUGAAAUCACUAUGAUUUAGUGGCUAUUAACUUCCUAUGGUUUUCAUAUAUGUAAUUACUUCCUAUAACUACUAGUCAGUUGUUAUGGUAUUGUAUUCGUUGUAUCGAUGCUGAUAUAUUUAUGAAUACAACAGCAAAACGCCUAAAAUCAUGGUAUUCCAGUUGUACGCACAUGUAUUCGCGUCAAGUAUUCAUGAAUAUAGUAACGACAAUCACUUAAAAAAUAGGUAUGUUCAGCUGUAUAAUAACAGAAAUAAUAUCAAGUAGCAUGAUACACUCCUAAAAUAACUCAACAAAAUAAAUUCUAACACGUCUAAUUAUCAAUCCAAUUAAUUAGAAUAAUUUUUUAGUUGUCCAUUACUGCUGUAUUUAGUGUGUUUCAAUAGCAUUCAUUAGAUUCAAUAUUUGUAUUUGAUGUAUUCCCUAUUUUAUAAUCAGUAUCUUCAAAUUUUAAAUAUAUUUGUAUUAAUAAUAUUUUAACUAUUCCUAAUACAUGUUAUUAUUGUUGUAGUUACUAUAUUUUGUUGGUUGUAUUCACUAUAUUUUUAUUUAUAUUCAAUGUAGUUUAUUGCAUUUUUACGGUAUUUUGAAAUUAAAUGUAUUUACGGUUUAUAUUUUGUUCUAUUUUCAUAUUUGUAUUAAGUGUAUUCCAAUGUUUAUAGCAUACUUUGCAUGAAUACAAAUGUAUUUAGCUGUAUUAAAAAAUAUUAAACCUUUAAAAUACAUAAAUGCAAGUAAAAAAAAUGAUGUAUUUGCGUAAAAAUAUAAUGUAUUUGAGUGAGUAAGUACAGAAUAUAAUAUAUUUGUUUUAGUGUGUAAUUAAAUAGCAAAGAAGAGAAAUUCAUUGCAAUAUCCAGCGCAGAAGAAAGCCAAUAUCUCUUUCUUUCUAAUAUUACAGCACAAAUACAUUAAAAUUUUAGGAGUUGCAGAAGAGAUAUAUUGUGUAGAAGAAAGCAGUUGUCUCGGAAGAGAUAGAGAGAAAGAAGGAAGAGGAAAAAGAAAAAAUUCGAGAGAAAAUUAAUUGAAAGAAAGAGAGGAGAAAAUUACAAAUAGCAUAUUUUAUGCGUUAAUAGUAGUAUAUAUUAUAAAUAUUUAUAUUUCUAUAAAAUAUAAAAAAUAAUAUUAAAAUAAUUUUAAUUUAUGAAAAGUACGAAAUUUAUCUUUAAUAUAAGAAGUAAAAAUUUUAAAAAGUAAUUUGUAAAUGCAUGCUAAGACCUCAAGGGGAAUCCACAACGUGUUAGUGCGACAGAUAGACACCUAACGUGGAUCACUCUUGCAAUUAUUGUGUCAUCACUAAUGAAUUAUAUAUUCAGCAAAAGAGAAAUGUAUAGAGGCAGUGGUUUCUCUAGAAUUAGUACCUAAUCAUUAACAAAUAUUCUACUUUUGAGUAUAAAAACUUUUCGGGGUGCUACUUUGAAAAUAACCACGACCUAAUAAAUGAUAUUUGUAAUGAUUUCCGCAAUAUUGUAGUCUCACGAUGUAUUAUGAUUUAUGCCAUAAUUAAUGGACGUGUCUUCUAUUAUUUAUGGUCAUUAUUCUUUUGGAGGAUAAAGGAAUAUGGAAAAGAAAAAAAGAAUAAAUGUGCUUUUUUUUAGUGAUAAUGCCUAUAAAUAGAACCGCAACACUUGGAGGAUAUGUCAGGUAAUAGUUUUUAUGUAAAUUUAUAUUUAUAUUAAAAAUAUUUAAGAUUAUACAAAAAAUAUUUAAUAUGAAAUUAAAUUUGUUGGUCUAGUUAUUAUGCAUAUUGUAGAAAUUUAUAAGCUUAAAAUUUUUGCAUUUAUAAAUGAGGCUUAACUCAAAUGUUUAAUAUUAACGAGUCUAAAACAUUUUAAAAAAUGUUUAAACAAAUUAUAUUUGUUACCUAUAAUUUGAUUUUCUUUUUUAAAUAUCUUGAAAUAGAUUGUAGACGUGAAUAAUGGAGUCAAUUACUAUAUGGUCACUAAACUAUUUCAAAUUAUCUCUCAAAAACACUUUUUCCGUUUAUAACAACAAAGUCACUGAACUAUGCAUAUUGCACUCUGAAGGUCACUAAAUAAGAUUUUUUAAAUUUUAGAUUACUAAAUGCCUAUUUUACCCUUUAAAUUAUAAACAUUUAUCUUCUUUUUAUUUUUUUAAAUUUUUUUUAAUAUUUAAUUUCUUUUUCUUUUUAAUUUACAUUAUGGACUUACCUGUGAAACAAAUAAAUAAAUAUUAUUUAUAAAUUAAAAAAUAUAAAGUAUUUAAGCAUAUAGAAUAUUGAAAUAUUAAAAUAAUGAGCAUAGUAAAAAAAUUACUUAGAAUAAUUUGUUAGUGAUAAUAAUGUUAGUAUUAACAAAAAAAAAUUAAAAAUCUUAUUUGCACAAUUCAGAACGAAAAAAAUAAAAGUUGUAAAAUAUAUAUUCCAUGCACGUAAUAUAAAUAAUAUUUAAAUAAACAUAUCUUUAGAAUAAUUAAUAUACCAUUAUAUAUUCUUAAAAAUUAUGCACCAUUAUAUUAUAUGAAGUAUCUUUAUUUAAAUAAUUAUUCUUAUAUUACGUGCAUGAAAUAUAUAUUUUACAACCUUUGUUUUCUUUUAUUCUGAAUUGUGUAAUAAAUUUUGAAUUUUGUUGUUAAUACUGAAAAGUUUAAUAAAAAUAAAAUUGAAGUUAAAUAUUUAUAAUUUAGAGGAUAAAAUAAGUAUUCGACAAUUCAAAAUUUAAAAAACCUAGUUGAGUGAUCUUCUGAGUAGUUCAGUAAUUUUGUUGUUUUAAAAAAAUUUUAGGAGAUAAUUUGGGAUAAUUGAGUGAUCAUUUGAAUAAUUCACUUCGAAUAAUUGUGGACCCACGGAGGAAAAAUAUUUUUAAAAAAAUUAAGUUCGUUGAAGUCAAUUUAUAGCAUAAAUUUGAUUCCCCGAUUUAUUUGAUUUAAUUUGAUAAAUUUAUGGCAUAAAUAAAGUAUCAUUUGGAAUAUCAAAUGUUUUUUUUUCCUCCGAUAAAUGCUUCUCAAAUAUUUGUACCAGGAAAUAUUUCAUUUAUAUAAUCAUUUUUUUGAAAGAAAACUCUUUUUAUUUUUGUAUUGAGAAUAAUUUCCAUACAGUGUUUACAGAUAUUAACAAAAAUGAAAAAUUCAUUUUUUUUCCCUGUGAUUAAAUUCUCUAACAUCAUCGAAGAGCAUACACAUUGAAUUAUUUUUGUUAUAUAAUUUAAAAAAUAGAACCCUGCCCACCAAUAAACUAAAGUUUAUCGAAGAGGAAAGAUUCGAUAGCAGUUCCCUAGAAUUAAUGUACGCCACACAUAAGAGUUUUUCUCUGUUUCUCAACUAAGAUCCUAGACCACAAGUUUUUCUUCUAAAGAAAAAAUAAAAGAAAUAAAAAGAUCAUUCGUGUAAGAUCCUUGACCUUAAUUAUAUACUUUAUAAUUAAUUUUUUUUAAAGGAGAAUAUUUCUUUGAAUUGCUAUGACAUAAUCUUAAUUGACGAGACACAAUAUCAACAAGAGGCUAGAGGUUUAGAGACAUGUUUUUUAGUUAAAAAGUUUUAGGUUAAACAGGACGAAGACAGAAUACUCUGAGUGCAAAUUUGGGGUCGAGCUGACGGAAGUGGGAGUGGAAGUGAGGCUUGACUCUCAAGUCAUCCCUAAGAGAGGUAAUUUCAAGUAUCUUGGGCCAGUUAUUCAGGGGAUCGGGGAGACCAACGAGGAUGUCACCCACCGUAUCGAGGUGGGAUGGAUGAAGUGGAGGUUAGCAACGGGAGUCCUGCAUGACAAGAAAAUGUCACCGUUACUGAAAGGUAAAUUUUAUAGAGCAGUAGUUAGGCCUGCCAUAUUAUAUGGGACCGAGUGUUGGCCGGUUAAGAACUCACACAUCAAGAAGAUGAAAGUUGCAGAGAUGAUGAUGCUGAGGUGGAUGUGUGAGCAUUCAAGAAUGGAUAAGAUUAGGAAUGAAGAUAUUCGAGAGAAGGUGGGUGUGGCCCCCAUGGAGGACAAGAUGCGGGAAGCAAGACUCAGAUGGUUCGGGCAUAUUCAGAGGAAGAGCACUGAUGCACUGGUGAGGAGGUGUGAGCAACUGACUGUGGUGGGCAUGAGGAGAGGUAGAGGGAGACCUAAGAAGUAUUGGGGAGAGGAGAUCAGGCAGGACAUGGCACGAUUUAAGAUUACUGAGGACAUGACCCUUAACAUGAAAUUGUGGAGGUCGAGCAUUAAAGUUGUAGGUUAGGGGAAGUUGUGAAUAUUUCUACAACGCACUAGAGUGAGACUAGCAAGUUAGGAGUUAGUCUUAGGAUGCUACUGAUCAACUACUGAUGACGGGCUUUACCUGUUGGUUAUUAGUAUACUUUACAUCUUUUUUCGUAUUUACUAUAAUUCUUAUAUUGCUGCUAUUUUGUUAUUUUAUGGUAUUUUAUGUUAUGUUAUGGAUUUUAUGUUAUUGUAUUAUGAGUCUAUUGAUAGUCAAAUAAGAUUAUCAUAAAAUAUAAAUAAUUUCUAGCGCGAGCUAAAAGUAAUAAUAUUCCCUGUAAAAUUUUUCUACGACUAAUAAACGGAUUGUCACACCCCUUUUUUAAUUAAACCUUUACUUAAUCCUCUUAAAAAUAAUAAAAAAAUUUAGUGAAGCUCAAACGAGUUUUCGAUUUUAAAAGUGACAAAGAUAGUGUUGGAAAGGAAAUAACUCAGAAUCGCCAUCUGACAUUUAUUUUCGGUAUGUCAUGUCACCGUUUUGUUUUAAAAAUGAUUUUUCCUUUUAAACAUUUUUUAUUCCAAAAUCAAGUCCGCACCAGAAAUUCGGGUAAGGGAGUUCAUUUGACUCGGGGAGAAGAUGUUAGGUACUCCCCAAGUCCCAUGAAAGUCACAAUUGCAUUCUCGAUUUAGUUGGCUUUUAGAAUAUUCGAAUCAAGAUAGAAAAAACAAACACAGAAAAUAAAACAAACACACAAGAGGUUCGAGGUCGCUCUCACCUAAUAAAAGAAAAUAAAACUAAAACUAGAAGUACUACGAGUUCCAGUUUAGGCCUCCAAAUACAAGUACGUCGGGACAUUUUCCGGAAUAAAAUAUACACAAGUUCUUCAGGGCAUUCCCUGUAUAAAUUUAACUAGGGAAACGACCGCUCGCCUCGAAACUAUCAAAAAUCCUAAGGCUCGCCUAUUCAAGUGUUGUUAGCCUAAGCAUGCUCCUAGCGAUUGAGGUAAUGAAAUUAAUAAACAGAACUAAAUAAAGAAAGUCAUGAAGGCUUCUUUUAACUGCUUUAAUGCCCACAACUCUUCGGGCCCUUUUCACACAAAAUGGUACGCGAAUAAUGCGGAUAGAAACGAAAGCAAACUAGAAUAAAAUAAGCAUUCCAUCAAACAAAUGCAUGAACGAACCAAUCGUAAAAUAAGCAUUCCAUCAAACAAAUACAUGAACGAACCAAUCGAAACAGGAUGACUUGAAGACAACUAAUUUAACAUGUUAAUACAACUAAAUGGCAAUCAAGCACAUAGAAGGAUUAAACAAAAUAACUAAAAAGCAUGAUAAUCCCACAAAAAAAUACGUCAAUCUGCCUAUUAAUAUUACCAGAAGAGAUCGAAAUGCCGGGAGAUGCACCCAUGUCACAUGAAAUUCCUAAACUUUAAGCAACUUAACCAUGAAGAAACAAAGAAUCCAAUCUAAUUUUACCACAGAAAAUUCCUUAGUUAAAGACAAGUCUCAAUUUCAAACACAUAAUUGACUCAUCAACUUUAGGGGUCUUCCGCAAGAAUAGGUCCUUGUUUAAGCCAAAAUCAACUAAAAGAAUAUGUACCUUUAAUGCAUACAAUCCAGAGUUAACAAGAAAAUCCCAAUGAACUUUAGAAAAAACACCCUUGUCAUAAUAAAAUGAGAACAACUCAAGGAAACGUUAAUAUUAAAAAUUUAUUUUUCACAUUAUCUAAUCCACUGCUAACUUCUAAGAAUGACAAAUCAGCAGCAAACACGGCUUAACAAUAAAGAAACAUGUUCUAAGACACUUGUUCACAUGGAUAAAACGUUAAAACCUUAUUCAUCUAAUUAAAAUGGAAACUAGACAUGAUGUUUGUCACCUAUAACAUUCAGCAUGCAAUUAUUUGACUUGACAGAAAGCACAAGCUCAAAAAGAAACCAGCAGAAUCGAGUAGACGAUAUAUCCUUUUUAAUUUGGAAAAGAAGAAAUGGACUCCACACUUCUGGUUACCUAUACUCCUAAACUGAUAUGAAAUGGCUGAAAAAUUCCUCGAAACACAUAGAAUAACAACAAUUUGAAAACUAAAACAGAUUCGAUGAAGAUGGCGAAGACGAAUUAAACGCUAACCAAAAAUAUUACUACGUUGAGGCACCAAACACUGGGAACAAAAAGAUAAAUCAGAUUCGACACUAGACCAAACCAGAGCAGAGACAAAUACUCUAAUCAAUCAAUAAAAGCACUCAUAAUAUAUUGCAUCAGGAAAAUCAUAAGGGAACUACAGCAAUAACAACACAAAUUAAACCGAGAUGUACCAAUAAACUUCAACCAUCACUAAUAUUUGAUUCAUUCUUUUAGGUUUAAGAAGAAAAGAAAACGAGAUGAACCUGUUUAUUCGAUGAUGUUCUGCUCUAAAAUGUCGACUACGAACAACAACACAAACAAGCAGAAAACGCGAUCCAAACCACGAACCUCGAGUGCCAAUCGACAAACAAUUUCGGACAAAAACUCCAAUCAGCACCGGAAUUUCGAAUCUCAGCACGAACUCACUCUCAAACUUCAAUCAAAUUUUAUGUCGUAAUGUUUUUGACUUUGAAGCAGAAUUCAAACUAGAAGAAACUAAUUUAAUUUUUUUUGUUCUUUUAUAUAUGAAAAUGAAAAAAAAAAAACAGAAUCAAAGGAAACUGAAGAGAAAACUCUAAUUUUCGAAUGGAUUGAAAUUAGAAGAACAACAAAAAAUCCGAAAACCCUAGUUCUUUCUCCCUGAUUUUUUUUCUUCAGAAUUUCUGUCCCUCCCCAAUAUAUAAUGACCCUAGACGCUUCCUCCUUCUUCUUCUCCAAGAAACAUGUGUGGGGACCUCACAACAAGAUCCGAAAAUCCUCAUUUUUUAACAAAAAUUAGAAAAUGGAAGCCUUGGAUCAAAUUUAAUGCAAUAGCUCCUAUUUUCCAACAUUUAUCUAAGGACUCGGAUUUUUGUUUGAACAAAAGAAAAUAGAAGAAGAACCUGUGUGAAUCGGAUUGAAAUGGUGAAAUUUAGUACGGAAGGGAUGACGUGGAAGAAGGAAAAGAUGAGAGAGGGGACCAUGGCACCCGGGCUGAGUAGACUCACUGGGUUUUUUUUUAGUUUUCUGGCGAGUUUGGUGAGUUGAUGCUCGGCAGAAGUGGAGAUAGGGAGGGGCCC
rnacentral:lncRNA from 1 species